GUCUAUGGCCAUGCCACCCAGAACACACCCACUCCCAUCUGAUCUUGGAAGCUAAGGAGGGUCGGGCCUGGUUAGUACUUGGAUGGGAGACCACCUACGAAGACCAGGUACUGUAGGUG
rnacentral:rRNA from 1 species